CCUACGGGGGGCUGCAGUGGGGAAUAUUGCACAAUGGGGGAAACCCUGAUGCAGCGACGCCGCGUGGGUGAAGAAGUACUUCGUUAUGUAAAGCUCUAUCAGCAGGGAAGAAAAUGACGGUACCUGAGUAAGAAACCCCGGCUAACUUCGUUCCAGCCGCCGCGGUUAUACGUAUGGGGCAAGCGUUAUCCGGAUUUCCUGGGUGUAACGGGGGCGUAGACGGCAGUGCAAGUCUGGAGUGAAAGGCGGGGGCUCAACCCCCGGACUGCUCUGGAAACUGUACGGCUGGAGUGCGGGAGAGGUAAGUGGAAUUCCUAGUGUAGCGGUGAAAUGCGUAGAUAUUAGGAGGAACACCAGUGGCGAAGGCGGCUUGCUGGACUGUAACUGACGUUGAGGCUCGAAAGCGUGGGGAGCAAACAGGAUUAGAUACCCUUGUAGUC
rnacentral:rRNA from 1 species